rnacentral:lncRNA from 1 species
UGAUUUAGUAGUACAAUAACUUUUGAAUCAUAUUGUCUAGAAAUUUUAUGACUUGUUAAGAAGGUCAGUAGAAAGAACUAAAUUUUGAAGAACAUUAAAAGCUCUGAACUUAAGGGUAUGGCGCAUGAACAUCUAUCUCUAGUAGAAGUUACGCAAGAUAACACAUCCGAGGUAAUUGUAGAAAUAGCAUCUUACAAGGUAAUGUAGAACAAAGUUAGACCUUUUGUCUUUUGGGAAGAGAAUCAGAAAAAGAAAUGAUUAGUAGUUGCAAUUAUACAUCGAUAGUGGAAUAAAUUUGGCAAAUCCAGGUAUUGUGAUGUGAUCAAUCUUAGGAAUUACAAGAUUAAAGCAGAUAUAUUACGUCCUAAUUAUUUUCAGUCUUCAGUACAUAAAUUUCAAGGACGAACUUUAAUUAGGAGAGGAUUAUGUGAGGCCCAGGCCCAGGAUUAUGCGAUGUUUUUAGCUUAAUAGUUUAGUGGCUCUGAUAAUCACCACUGCCUGCAUACAAACUAUGUGAUUGCCAGGUUAUAUUGAUACAUUGAUAGGUAAAAUGCGUUGCAUGCUUAUAAAGUCAACUUCCUGUGAGUGUGUGGCGGCUGCCACACCCUCGUAUUGUGAAUCUAGGGUCAGGGCAUGACAGUAUCAAAGUUUAUUUCAUACUACUAAGGUUUCAUUCCUUCAAGCAUAAAAUAUGCAGUAUCAAGCUCUGUUGUUAGGAUCAAGCGCUGACCACUACACCAAAAGCGACCACUGAUAGUGAAGGCGCUACUUUAUUUCCUUAAACCGCACCAGAUCAACACCUCAAGUCGACUCUGACCCGGCCUCGCCCACCCCGAACUCCGAUCAGGCCUCGCCCGUGGGCUUAGUGACCGCAGUAUGUCCCAUCCUACUAACCGGCGCAUCCACGCUGGCAGGCGACAGGACUGACUCGACCAACUCGGCCUCCGCCAACGUUGACCUCGGCCUCCGCCNNNNNNNNNNNNNNNNNNNNNNNNNNNCCUCCGCCAACAAUCCCCCCUAGCGCGAUGCCCGAGUUUCGAACUCGAGACCUCUAGCUCUGAUGCCAGUUGUUAGGAUCAAGCGCCGACCAUUACACUAAAAGCAACCGCUUAUAGUGAAGGCGCUACUUUAUUUUCUUAAACCGCACCAGAUUAGCGUCUCAAGUCGACUCCGACCUGGCCUCGCCCACCCCGGACUCCGAUCAGGCCUCGCCAAUGGGCUUAGUGACCGCAAUAUGUCCCACCCUACUAACCGGCGCAUCCACGCUGGCAGGCGGCAGGACUGACUCAACCAACUCGGCCUCCGCCAACAAGCUCAUUAAAAUCUAAUCUAACAUACCAUUUAAAUUCAAAUCUAUUUACAAUGUAGAAUAAACUUAUUGCUAGCAUGUGUUGGGCAAUAUUGUUACUGCUCACAUUUCAAAGCAAGUACCGUUGGAGCAAUCAUAGAAGAUGGAUCACCCUAAGCACCUUUGAUACAUACACAAUUUAACAUGACUCAUGAGUAUCAGCAUAACCUAUAUUAGCAUGAAAAAGAAUCUGAAACAAAC